AAAGAUCAUCACAAUAACAAUAAGAGCAUCACAUCAAACCACAGCACAUGCCCAAGGCACACGAAGCUGCGCUCGGUAGUGCAGUGACAGCACGUGAUAAAAGUAAGACUACAGAAUAAUAAUAAUAAUAAUAAUAAUAAUAAUAAUCACAA